UGGGGAAUAUUGGACAAUGGGCGCAAGCCUGAUCCAGCCAUGCCGCGUGAGUGAUGAAGGCCCUAGGGUUGUAAAGCUCUUUCACCGGUGAAGAUAAUGACGGUAACCGGAGAAGAAGCCCCGGCUAACUUCGUGCCAGCAGCCGCGGUAAUACGAAGGGGGCUAGCGUUGUUCGGACUUACUGGGCGUAAAGCGCACGUAGGCGGACUAUUAAGUCAGGGGUGAAAUCCCGGGGCUCAACCCCGGAACUGCCUUUGAUACUGGUAGUCUUGAGUUCGAGAGAGGUGAGUGGAAUUCCGAGUGUAGAGGUGAAAUUCGUAGAUAUUCGGAGGAACACCAGUGGCGAAGGCGGCUCACUGGCUCGAUACUGACGCUGAGGUGCGAAAGCGUGGGGAGCAAACAGG
rnacentral:rRNA from 1 species